ACCCUGCAGACUCCUUAUCCCUUAGAUCUAAACAUUGGUCUGUGUGGCUAUUAAAGGAAGAAAAGUGAAAGUUGGAUCCUUGGACUUGGAUUCUUAUGGUGACGUGCAAGUUCAUUUCAAACAACA
rnacentral:snoRNA from 1 species